rnacentral:rRNA from 1 species
GAUGCGUUGUUGGGUAGGGGAGCGUUCUGUAAGCCUGUGAAGGUGGCCUGUGAGGGUUGCUGGAGGUAUCAGAAGUGCGAAUGCUGACAUAAGUAACGAUAAAGCGGGUGAAAAGCCCGCUCGCCGGAAGACCAAGGGUUCCUGUCCAACGUUAAUCGGGGCAGGGUGAGUCGACCCCUAAGGCGAGGCCGAAAGGCGUAGUCGAUGGGAAACGGGUUAAUAUUCCCGUACUUGGUGUUACUGCGAAGGGGGGACGGAGAAGGCUAUGUUGGCCGGGCGACGGUUGUCCCGGUUUAAGCGUGUAGGUGUGUAUUCCAGGUAAAUCCGGUUCACUUUAACACUGAGGCGUGAUGACGAGGCACUACGGUGCUGAAGCAACAAAUGCCCUGCUUCCAGGAAAAGCCUCUAAGCAUCAGGUAACAUCAAAUCGUACCCCAAACCGACACAGGUGGUCAGGUAGAGAAUACCAAGGCGCUUGAGAGAACUCGGGUGAAGGAACUAGGCAAAAUGGUGCCGUAACUUCGGGAGAAGGCACGCUGACACGUAGGUGAAGUGAUUUACUCAUGGAGCUGAAGUCAGUCGAAGAUACCAGCUGGCUGCAACUGUUUAUUAAAAACACAGCACUGUGCAAACACGAAAGUGGACGUAUACGGUGUGACGCCUGCCCGGUGCCGGAAGGUUAAUUGAUGGGGUCAGCGCAAGCGAAGCUCCUGAUCGAAGCCCCGGUAAACGGCGGCCGUAACUAUAACGGUCCUAAGGUAGCGAAAUUCCUUGUCGGGUAAGUUCCGACCUGCACGAAUGGCGUAAUGAUGGCCAGGCUGUCUCCACCCGAGACUCAGUGAAAUUGAACUCGCUGUGAAGAUGCAGUGUACCCGCGGCAAGACGGAAAGACCCCGUGAACCUUUACUAUAGCUUGACACUGAACAUUGAGCCUUGAUGUGUAGGAUAGGUGGGAGGCUUUGAAGUGUGG